UCAACUAUAUCAACAUCACCAGUAAUGACAUGUCCAGCUGGACUAUAGUUGAAAGAAGAUGGAGAACAAGAACACGUAGGUGGAUUAAGUAUUUAUAAGGUCUAUAUCUAGGCACUACAAAGUUUGUUUAUAAUUCAAAAGUGUGGAUGCAAUAGUAGAAGUAUAUGUGUAGGAAAUACUGGGUGUAGACUUGAACCUGAAACGACUGAGCUCUUUUAUGACAAAGAAUGUUGCUUAUGUUGACGGCAUCUAUUCCUUUGUUUGCAAAUUUGAACUUAAAGAACUGGCGGCAUGAUUUGGAAGGAAUAUCAUCCAUGACCCGUGGUGGUUUAAAGAGCCUCUGAUUGGCAACAUCCAUAAUCAUAGAGUUCAGUCUAUAUUCAGGUGUUGAAAAAUCCAAGUAUAGACUAGCUGUGGGUUCUUCAAAUAACUUAAUAUGUAAAAGUUAAAACUCUCAAUGGAACAGAGUAAAGUUUUGUGUGAAUAUGAUAUGGAAAAAUAGAUAGAUGUGGUAAGAGAGAUCAUUAUGAUAAGAUUCAUUAUGAUAAGAUAGAUAUGGUAAGAUAGUAAUGGUGAGAUAUUGUAAAAUAGAUCAUUAUGAUCACUAAGGAUGACGGCCAAAGAAUAUGCAGAAUUCUGACUUUCAUGGAGGACUGUUGAAACCCCUGUAUUUUCAAAUAAUAUAUUAAUAACAUGUCCUGGUUUGAAAAUUGAUCAUAAACAGAACAUGCUGUAAUAUAUCGAAUCAAUUUAAAGAUAUAUGGGCACCAUAUGCAGAAGAUAAUGGAACAUUGAGGGAGCACUACAUAAUAUGAGAAGCUGACGAUAGGGAAGCAACAAAUAAAUAGAAGUCCGCCAUCUCAGCUUAACUUCCUAUACAUUUAUGUAAGUAAUCAGGGAAGAAAGCCAUCCUUAUUUCUAAUAUUUCAGUAACUUAAAAUUAAUCCAUGUAAAUCACUGUGGUGUUUUAUAUGUGACGUGAAAUGUGAUUUCAUUAAAUGGCAUUUUGGCUCGGACUUCAGUGAGUUGCCAAAGCCAGGCUUGAUGAGACAAACCCUGGUGGAAUUAUCCAUAGAACUUGAUGAAGGAAUGUUUAAAAUUGUGUCGACUUGACACAAUAUAUAUAAGCACUAAAUAAUCACAACUAGGUACUGAAAAUUUUCGCCCAGCCCGGGGUCGAACCAGCAACGUACGGCACCCACCGCCUAGCAAGACUGUCAAACCAGUGCCGUACACUUCGGAACUGCUCCUGAAGAACUCCUUGUAGCGAGCGGACUCUGCCGAGGAGUUGCGAAAAGCUACCUUGUCUUGUGUAGGCGGUCUAAAAGAAUGAAAUGAUGCAAAGCAUAAAAAUUCCAUUCAACUCUAGAAAUCUACUUCAAAUAUGCUGACGGUAUUAUGUUUUCCCAUUCCUUUUGAAUAAGACUCUAAGCUUUUAAGACGAUGCUUUGUGGUGAUGAUAUCAACCUACCGUGACUUUUUCCGCCGAGCAAAGCAGACGAUCGCAACAAUAAGAAUGAUGAGGAAGAAUCCACCAAUCGCAGC